UUUUUUAAUUCUUUUAUACUUCUCUCCUUUUAUUACAGCAAUUCACACCCCUCCAAGCUCUCUCGUCAUUCUUAAGAGCCCUCCCAGGCCUUCUAUUACCCUCGAACACAGUUAGUAAAGCGCGAUAACCCUGGCCGUAGCUCACUGUGUUUGGUCAUUCCUUUUAAGUGAAGGUACAAACUAGGAAUCUAAUAGCUUACUUUUCAUUACUCAGUUAAAGUCAGAGGAGGCAGGAGGAAUCAACCCUCGGAUGGACAGCUAGCAUGACGGAUUUGUCAUAAACGUACGAUCUUUAUCGGAAACUAUACUAGACCUAACCUAGAGACGCAAAGCAAUCAUCACUUUAAACAAGUGUAACACAGUGGCAUAGUAAUAACCAUUCUUCUAAAGAACUUAAUCUGUAUUCCCCUCUUGAAAGAAGUCGAGGCAUAAGCGCCCACUAGCGUUUCUUCCUAAAAGAAUAUUAUGACUGCUCCGAGGAAGGGUACGAAACAGUGUAGAAAUAUCAGAUCUAGACCCGCCAUUUGGCCCAGAGUGGCGAAAAACAGCUUAAAACUACCACCAGGAGAGGCGAGUUCGAGAGCUAAGGAGACACAGGAAUAAUUGAUUUUACAGGCCGGGAGCCCUUGAGAAUAAAUAUGAAACAAUAUGUUAUAUAUUAUAACAAUAAUAUAC